AGAUAGUCCUGGGAUGGAGAUGGCUUGGGGGGGCCUUAUUCCCUCCACAUACGGACACCUGUCAAAAUGGGGAACCCCACGGUGCAAGUGGCUCCGUUCGGGGCCCAGAGAGUGAUGCUGCUGGCGGGCUGGACCUGUGGGGAGCCGCGUCCCUGAGGUACCUGGACGUGAGGGCCAAGAUCUCUGACCGGGACACUCUGAUGAGGUCGGGCCCCACCCCUGAAAAAAUCUCCCUAUCUUGAAGUCAGCGGAACAGUAACCUUCAUGGCAGACGCCGAGCUCCCUUCAUCUGGUUGACGUGAAACAGGGUCGUUGAUUGGAUCGGCGGCGCCGUUGGACGCUCCGCGGUCUUCCUGCCUUUCUACUUCCUUCUCUCCUUGUCCGACAGAGACGUGCUGAAAUCCUCCCAGAACUGUGGGUUUGGGGGCACCUGGAUGGCUCAGUAGGUCAAGUGAUGGCCUUUGGCUCAGGUCAUGAUCCUGGGGUCCUGGGAUUAAGCCUCGGGUCAGGCUCGUUGGGGAGUUUGCUUGUGCACAAGGGUGCGCCGGCUUUUGAAUAAAUAAAUAAAAUCUUUAG